AAACGAUUGGAGUCUUAUCACGUUGGUUCGGUUCAGCUGUCUUUGGCAGUGUACUCCGUUCCAACGGGUCAGCAUCAGUUUGGGAUGGUGGAUAAGGGCGGGGGGAACGUGGCACUUUCGGGUGUGUUAUAGCCCCUUGUCGCAUACACUGAUUCAGACUGAGGAACGCAGCUCGCCUUUAGGGGCCGGGGUUCGCCCACGUUACGAGCUUAGGAUGCUGGCGCAAGCGCUUCAAACGA
rnacentral:rRNA from 1 species